rnacentral:rRNA from 1 species
GAUGAACGCUAGCUACAGGCUUAACACAUGCAAGUCGCGGGGCAGCAUGAAUUUAGCUUGCUAAAUUUGAUGGCGACCGGCGCACGGGUGAGUAACGCGUAUCCAACCUUCCCCUGUCCACGGGAUAGCCCGUCGAAAGGCGGAUUAAUACCGUAUGAGGUCACACGAUGGCAUCAGACUGUGACGAAAGGUUUAGCGGACAGGGAUGGGGAUGCGUCCGAUUAGGUAGUCGGCGGGGUAACGGCCCACCGAGCCGACGAUCGGUAGGGGUUCUGAGAGGAAGGUCCCCCCACAUUGGAACUGAGACACGGUCCAAACUCCUACGGGAGGCAGCAGUGAGGAAUAUUGGUCAAUGGGGCGAGAGCCUGAACCAGCCAAGUAGCGUGCAGGACGACGGCCCUAUGGGUUGUAAACUGCUUUUAUAAGGGAAUAAGGUGAGUCUCGUGAGACUUUUUGCAUGUACCUUAUGAAUAAGGACCGGCUAAUUCCGUG